ACGUCUCUUGCCUCGCUCGAUCAGCUGUCAUUUCAUCAACUGAUUUUGAGCUGGAUACACCAUUAUUCCCUCGGGAAUAGCGGUUGUAUGAGACAAGAACAACCUAAUCGAUGAUCUUUGAGUACGAUUUUAUCUGUUAUACUCUACGGAUAUUCAUCGUAAUUUAUCCAUCGGUACAAUC
rnacentral:snoRNA from 1 species